rnacentral:rRNA from 1 species
GUGGGGAAUAUUGCGCAAUGGGGGAAACCCUGACGCAGCGACGCCGUGUGAGGGAAGAAGGCUUUCGGGUCGUAAACCUCUGUCAGAAAGGAAGAACCUCCCAAGUCCGAAUAGGGCUUGGGACUGACGGUACUUUCAAAGGAAGCACCGGCUAACUCCCUGCCAGCAGCCGCGGUAAUACGGAGGGUGCAAGCGUUAAUCGGAAUCACUGGGCGUAAAGCGCGCGUAGGCCGCUUUGUAAGUCGGACGUGAAAGCCCUCGGCUCAACCGGGGAACUGCGUUCAAUACUGCGAGGCUUGAGUCCUGGAGAGGGUGGCGGAAUGCCGGGUGUAGGAGUGAAAUCCGUAGAUAUCCGGAGGAACACCGGUGGCGAAGGCGGCCACCUGGACAGGUACUGACGCUGAGGCGCGAAAGCGUGGGGAGCAAACAGGAUUAGAAACCCUGGUAGUCC